UGGUACAAUGGUCUGCUGGACAAAGAACUGCUCUUACCUUGACUGCUGACAGCACAAAUGCUGUCCUUUCUGGAUGAUCAGGACACAAGGAAAAGAGACUAUUGAACUCUGCCAUGACAGGAAAACAAAAGGCUGUGGAU